rnacentral:rRNA from 1 species
UACGUAGGGGCCUAGCGUUGUCCGGAUUUAUUGGGCGUAAAGAGCUCGUAGGCGGUUUGGUGAGUCGGGUGUGAAAUCUCCACGCUCAACGUGGAGGGGCCACCCGAUACUGCCAUGACUAGAGUCCGGUAGGGGAGUGUGGAAUUCCUGGUGUAGCGGUGAAAUGCGCAGAUAUCAGGAGGAACACCAAUUGCGAAGGCAGCUCGCUGGGACGUUACUGACGCUGAGACGCGAAAGCGUGGGGAGCAAACGGG